rnacentral:lncRNA from 1 species
AUCAACACUUUAUAGUACAUAGCACAUUAAUAUCGCUAGCAGUACAUAGCACAUGUAUGUCAUUAAUCUUUCUUUUUCCAAAUGACUAUCCCCCACCCACAGUGGUCUCAUAAUCUACCACCCUCCGUGAAACCAUCUACUCUCCCAAUUACAUGUCCCUCUUCUUGCUGUGAUCCCAUUUUAACCUGGGGGUAGCUAAUAGUGAACUUUAUCUGGCAUCUGGUUCCUAUCUCAGGGCCAUGAACUGCAUAAUCGCCCACUCAUUCCUCUUAAAUAAGACAUCACAAUGGAUUAGUUCCAUUCUAAUGGAACUAAUGAUCCAACAUAACUGCACUGUCAUGCCUUUAGUGGUUUUAAUUUUGGGGGGAUACAGGGAC